rnacentral:rRNA from 1 species
UACGUAGGGGGCAAGCGUUGUCCGGAUUUAUUGGGCGUAAAGAGCGUGUAGGCGGCUAGAUAGGUCCGUUGUGAAAACUCGAGGCUCAACCUCGAGACGUCGAUGGAAACCAUCUGGCUAGAGUCCGGAAGAGGAGAGUGGAAUUCCUGGUGUAGCGGUGAAAUGCGCAGAUAUCAGGAAGAACACCAAUGGCGAAAGCAGCUCUCUGGGACGGUACUGACGCUGAGACGCGAAAGCGUGGGGAGCGAACAGG